GACGGAGGGUGCUAGCGUUGUUCGGAUUUACUGGGCGUAAAGGGCGCGUAGGCGGCCAGAUCAGUCGGGUGUGAAAGCCCGGGGCUCAACCCCGGAACGGCACCCGAGACGGUUUGGCUGGAGACCGGGAGAGGAGGGUGGAAUAGCCAGUGUAGAGGUGAAAUUCGUAGAUAUUGGGAAGAACACCGGUGGCGAAGGCGGCGCUCUGGACCGAGACUGACGCUGAGGCGCGAAGGCGUGGGGAGCAAACAGG
rnacentral:rRNA from 1 species